rnacentral:rRNA from 1 species
UAGUCCACGCCGUAAACGAUGAUAACUAGCUGUUCGGGCCCACAGGGCUUGAGUGGCGCAGCUAACGCAUUAAGUUAUCCGCCUGGGGAGUACGGUCGCAAGAUUAAAACUCAAAGGAAUUGACGGGGGCCUGCACAAGCGGUGGAGCAUGUGGUUUAAUUCGACGCAACGCGCAGAACCUUACCAGCUUUUGACAUCCUGGUCGCGGAUUUGGGAGACCAUUUCCUUCAGUUCGGCUGGACCAGUGACAGGUGCUGCAUGGCUGUCGUCAGCUCGUGUCGUGAGAUGUUGGGUUAAGUCCCGCAACGAGCGCAACCCUCAUCCUUAGUUGCCAGCAUUUAGUUGGGCACUCUAAGGAAACUGCCGGUGAUAAGCCGGAGGAAGGUGGGGAUGACGUCAAGUCCUCAUGGCCCUUACAAGCUGGGCUACACACGUGCUACAAUGGGCGAUACAGAGAGUCGCAAUACCGCGAGGUGGAGCUAAUCUCAGAAAGUCGUUU